ACCACCCUUUUCUUACUUAACAGUUCCAAUCCUACCCUUGCUGGUGAUUGCUGGCUCUGCAUGACGGCAGGUGCAGUCAUGCCAUUGGCAGUCCCCAUUAAUUAUACCAUUGAUGAUGACAACACAUGUCAAUCUGGGCUACACUUUAAGGUGCAGCCUCUAGGUGGUUUUAUGUCUUGCCUUCUGGGCAUGAUGCAAAAUAAUACCUAUGAUGUUGAUGUUGGAGUCUCUUCCUUUGGAAACUGCUCAUUAGUAAAGAAUUA
rnacentral:lncRNA from 1 species